UAAGGCCACACUAGGAAAAGCGUUUUUUCUGCAGGGUGCAGCUCUCGACGAACGUCCUCUGGCGGGGAUUGGACGCACAUUAGGGGGUGAACAAAACAUUAAUCUACGAAUUCCAUCAUGGCAGCGACAUUAAUGCGUUCCCUUGUAAAGAAGAGGGUUCCUCUUCAGAUGGGACGCAUGUGUUACUCCUCCUCCUCUGUGCCCAGCACCAAGUUGUUCAUUGAUGGAAAGUUUGUCGAAUCCAAGAGUCCAGAAUGGUUGGACAUUCAAAAUCCUGCCACCAACGAGGUCAUCGGUCGGGUGCCAAAGGCCACACACGAGGAGAUGUUGGCUGCCGUGGACUCGUGCUCACGGGCGUACCACACUUGGUCCGAAACAUCCAUCCUCGCCCGCCAGCAGAUCUUCCUUCGCUAUCAGUUGCUCAUUAAAGACAAUAUUAAAGAGCUGGCUAAGCUGAUAACCCUGGAGCAGGGAAAAACCCUGGCUGAUGCUGAGGGCGACGUGUUCAGAGGACUGCAGGUGGUGGAGCACACCUGCAGUAUCACAUCCCUAAUGCUGGGCGAAACCCUCCCCUCCAUCACCAAAGACAUGGACACAUACACAUACCGGCUGCCCAUCGGUGUAUGUGCUGGUAUUACCCCCUUCAAUUUCCCUGCUAUGAUUCCCCUGUGGAUGUUCCCAAUGGGCAUGGUGUGCGGGAACACCUAUUUAUUGAAGCCCUCGGAGAGAGUGCCUGGCUGCGCCAUGUUGCUGGCCAAACUCCUGCAGGACGCCGGCGCUCCGGAUGGAACAUUAAACAUAAUUCACGGACAGCAUGACGCUGUGAACUUCAUCUGUGACCAUCCUGCCAUCAAAGCCAUCAGUUUUGUAGGCUCCAACCAGGCUGGCGAGUACAUCUAUGAGAGAGGCUCCAAAAAUGGCAAAAGAGUGCAGAGCAACAUGGGGGCGAAGAAUCACGGUGUGGUGAUGCCUGAUGCCAACAAAGAAAACACACUAAACCAGUUGGUUGGUGCUGCUUUUGGAGCAGCAGGUCAGAGGUGUAUGGCUCUUUCCACUGCCGUCCUUGUAGGAGAAGCACGAAACUGGUUGCCUGAACUAGUUGAACGUGCAAAGGGUCUCCGUGUCAAUGCAGGUGACCAGCCCGGGGCUGAUGUGGGACCUCUCAUCUCGCCUCAGGCCAAACAGCGAGUCAACAGCCUUAUCCAGAGUGGUGUGGAUGAGGGUGCCAAGGUGCUCCUUGACGGCAGGAACGUGAAGGUCAAGGGUUACGAAAACGGCAACUUUGUAGGACCAACCAUCAUUAGCAAUGUCACGCCGGAUAUGAAGUGCUAUAAGGAGGAGAUAUUUGGCCCUGUGCUGGUGGUCCUGGAGGCUGACAGCUUGGAUGAUGCCAUCAAAAUAGUCAAUGAGAACCCAUAUGGCAACGGUACUGCCAUCUUCACCACCAAUGGUGCAGCGGCACGUAAAUACACUCAUGAAGUCGAUGUUGGGCAGAUUGGAGUUAAUGUACCAAUCCCCGUCCCACUGCCAAUGUUUUCGUUCACCGGUUCCAGAGGCUCCUUCAGGGGUGACACCAAUUUCUAUGGAAAGCAAGGCAUUCAGUUCUACACACAGAUCAAAACUGUUACCUCGCAGUGGAAGGCAGAAGAUGCUACCCUAAAGUCCCCCGCUGUUACCAUGCCAACAAUGGGACGUUAAGUAUUAAUCUCCUGUAUAAUUUCUCUCUGGCCCCUAAAAUUCAAUACUACUUUUAACUACUGUACAGAUUGAUAUUUUCAAACGUGCUCUCAUAUGUAGUUAAAUAA